AGGUAUUUAGCUCAGUGCCACAGCACUUGCCUGGCAAGCACGAGGUCCUGAGUUCAAGUCUUAGUACCUA
rnacentral:tRNA from 1 species